AACGUGAAAUCGCUGGAGUGGAACCGGAGAGAGUUGACGUAGUCGGGUAACUAAGUUUGCCAAAGUCGCUUAAUUGUGGCAGCGGCAGAUGUAUGUUGCCUAUGGCUGCGCUGACAGCGCUGGCUGUGCGUUCCGAACCGUUUGCGUUGCCCACUUCGGUGGUGUCUUGUCUGCGGGUAGGUUUGUCGUGGCUAGUGUUUUAUCCUGCUUGCAGGGUGUCAGUGUGAAAGUCGACCACCUCUCCGACCCGUCUUGAAACACGGACCGAGGAGUGUAACUUGUACGCGAGUCAAAGGGUGGAAAACCCCAUGGCGAAAUGAAAGUAAAGGUCGGUUAACCGGCUGACAUGGGAUCCGCCUUUCGAGACGGCGCACCAUGGCCCUGUCUCGUCUGCUUGCAGAUGGGCAGCGGUAGAGCGUACAGGUUGCGACCCGAAAGAUGGUGAACUAUGCCUGAGCAGGACGAAGUCAGAGGAAACUCUGAUGGAAGUCCGUAUCGGUUCUGACGUGCAAAUCGAUCGAUAGACUUGGGUAUAGGGGCGAAAGACUAAUCGAACCAUC
rnacentral:rRNA from 1 species